rnacentral:rRNA from 1 species
AGUGAACGCUGGCGGUAGGCCUAACACAUGCAAGUCGAACGGCAGCACAGUAAGAGCUUGCUCUUACGGGUGGCGAGUGGCGGACGGGUGAGGAAUACAUCGGAAUCUACUUUUUCGUGGGGGAUAACGUAGGGAAACUUACGCUAAUACCGCAUACGACCUACGGGUGAAAGCAGGGGAUCUUCGGACCUUGCGCGAUUGAAUGAGCCGAUGUCGGAUUAGCUAGUUGGCGGGGUAAAGGCCCACCAAGGCGACGAUCCGUAGCUGGUCUGAGAGGCUGAUCAGCCACACUGGAACUUGGACACGGUCCAGACUCCUACGGGAGGCAGCAGUGGGGAAUAUUGGACAAUGGGCGCAAGCCUGAUCCAGCCAUACCGCGUGGGUGAAGAAGGCCUUCGGGUUGUAAAGCCCUUUUGUUGGGAAAGAAAAGCAGCAGGUUAAUACCCCGCUGUUCUGACGGUACCCAAAGAAUAAGCACCGGCUAACUUCGUG